GAGCAGGGUUGUAUCAGAGUCACCUCUUUCAUCUGCAAAGGGUGCUUUGUGCGGUCGUGGACAGGAAAGGGAAAUCCUCGUGUCGCGGAGCAGUGAGGGAAGUAGAGCGUAAACCUUUGGAGGAACCUGUCACAGGAAAGAGCUCCUUCUGGAACUGUUCAGCACUCGCUGAAACACAGUGUACGACACGGGACUUGACGACCAGAGCUGCUUUUGGCAAGGUGAGUGAUGAACAGCUAUAGAAGGUACUUUAGGGGUGCAGUUGUCACUGCAGUUACUGAACUACACCAAGUACGGUAAAAACCCUGUUUAUAUUUCAGGGGUGUUGUAGCUGGCCUAAGAGAGCAGAUGGAAGCGUCUGCCUCGAGGGGAGGGGAGGGCACGGAGGUAAGGCAGCAGCUGAGAGUAACUGUCCCAGCUGUGCUGUGGC